rnacentral:rRNA from 1 species
UACGUAGGCAGCGAGCGUUGUUCGGAGUUACUGGGCGUAAAGAGUAUGUAGGCGGUUGCGUAAGUUUGGUGUGAAAUCUCCCGGCUUAACUGGGAGGGUGCGCCGAAAACUGCGGAGCUAGAGUGUGGGAGAGGAAAGCGGAAUUCCUGGUGUAGCGGUGAAAUGCGCAGAUAUCAGGAAGAACACCUAUGGCGAAGGCAGCUCUCUGGGACGGUACUGACGCUGAGACGCGAAAGCGUGGGGAGCGAACAGG